AUCUAAUGAGGUGUGUUAAAGGAAUGGAAACAAUUAUCAAAGUAAUAAACUCAAAAGCCUUUAAGAGAUUUCGGUACAAUCAUGUGCCAGUACAAGCCCUGUUUAGUUUGAUGGCAAAUUUACCUGUGAACUUGAGACCAAGACAUGCAACUACAGCAGCUUCAUUGGAACGAUUUUGCAUAGACACUGUAAUGACUAUAUGGCAUUAUCAUGGAGGAUGUCAAGUAGGGCAGGUUCUUGAUCAUAAUUAUAGGGUUCGUGGUGUUGAUGGAUUAAGGGUUAUUGAUGGCUCCACUUUUCUUCGCUCGCCGGGCACUAAUCCUCAAGCUACUGUUAUGAUGCUUGGAAGGUAAUUACUAACUAGUUGUCCUCUAAUCACAUUUUGAUAUAUAGCUAUUAAUUGCAUGCCAAUAUUUUGUAAUGCAGGUAUAUGGGGAUGAGAAUUCUGCAUGACAGACUUCCUAAGAAGAGAAGUAAAUGAUGAUAAUUGUAAAUGUGACUUUUAAAAUUUUUGUAUACUAUCAGAAUACAAGUGAACUUCAGCAGUUCAAGUUUUGGGUAACUGAAUGCUUUAAUUUCCUUUCCAAUUGGUAGAGAAUGAGAGAAAUGUAAAAAUCAAUUAGUAGUUAUUCUUUCAUAACUUUUUAAUUUUGGAAAUACCGAAAGACCAAAAGUGGAAGUCAAAGAAAAGAGAAGAAGAAGAAGAAUAUGCCUCUCUAAGGUCGUAUAUUACUCAGGAAAAGAAAAACAUGACGGAGAGCAGAGCAUCGCCUUUCCUAUCAGCUAUUCUUUUAACUCUUUUGGCCUCCAAAGAACGGACAAGAUGAGAUAACAGAAUCUGUCCUGCAUAUAAAAACAGAGCUUUGAACAUAUUAUUCUGAGCCAUAAAACACCUUCAAAGUUUUUAGCAUUGUUCAAGGCAUAUUUAUGAAGCAAUCUUUAAAUCAGGUAUUUACUCACCCAUCAAAAUCGGUGAAAACUCCCAUAUUUUAUGAAACUCCAACGAGAAAUCUCAUAUUCCCAUGCCCAAACAGUAUUAAUUACAUGGUACAGGAAUGAUUUUAUUAAUUAAACUAACACCAGACUGCAUAUUUAGACAGGCCAACAGACCAUACUGACCCCAGAGGCGAUGGCUAGGGCUUUUGAGACAGUAAAUUCCUUAGUGAACUCAACACUAAAAGGUGGAAUUAUUCUAGAAAAGAUAACGGGUCCGCUCUCCAGAGGGGAGCUCAAGCUAAGAACAACAAAUCCAGACGAGAACCCAUCAGUAAAAUUCAACUAUUUCAAAGAACCAGAAGAUCUAAUGAGGUGUGUUAAAGGAAUGGAAACAAUUAUCAAAGUAAUAAACUCAAAAGCCUUUAAGAGAUUUCGGUACAAUCAUGUGCCAGUACAAGCCCUGUUUAGUUUGAUGGCAAAUUUACCUGUGAACUUGAGACCAAGACAUGCAACUACAGCAGCUUCAUUGGAACGAUUUUGCAUAGACACUGUAAUGACUAUAUGGCAUUAUCAUGGAGGAUGUCAAGUAGGGCAGGUUCUUGAUCAUAA
rnacentral:lncRNA from 1 species